rnacentral:rRNA from 1 species
CAGCCGCCACGGUAAUACAGAGGGUGCGAGCGUUAAUCGGAUUUACUGGGCGUAAAGCGUGCGUAGGCGGCUUCUUAAGUCGGAUGUGAAAUCCCUGAGCUUAACUUAGGAAUUGCAUUCGAUACUGGGAAGCUAGAGUAUGGGAGAGGAUGGUAGAAUUCCAGGUGUAGCGGUGAAAUGCGUAGAGAUCUGGAGGAAUACCGAUGGCGAAGGCAGCCAUCUGGCCUAAUACUGACGCUGAGGUACGAAAGCAUGGGGAGCAAACAGGAUUAGAGACCCCUGUAGUCCCUGUCUCUUAUAC